GAUGAACGCUAGCGGCAGGCCUAAUACAUGCAAGUCGAACGAGAUUAAGAGGCUUGCUUCUUAUGAAAGUGGCGCACGGGUGCGUAACGCGUAUGCAACCUACCUUAAUCAGGGGGAUAGCCCGAAGAAAUUCGGAUUAAGACCGCAUAAAAACACAGGAUAGCAUUAUCCAAUGUUCAAAUAUUUAUAGGAUUAAGAUGGGCAUGCGUGUCAUUAGCUAGUUGGCGGGGUAACGGCCCACCAAGGCGACGAUGACUAGGGGAUCUGAGAGGAUGACCCCCCACACUGGUACUGAGACACGGACCAGACUCCUACGGGAGGCAGCAGUAAGGAAUAUUGGUCAAUGGAGGGAACUCUGAACCAGCCAUGCCGCGUGCAGGAAGACAGCCCUCUGGGUCGUAAACUGCUUUUAUUCGGGAAUAAACCUUUCUACGUGUAGGAAGCUGAAUGUGCCGAAGGAAUAAGGAUCGGCUAACUCCGUG
rnacentral:rRNA from 1 species